rnacentral:rRNA from 1 species
AUUGAACGCUGGCGGCAGGCUUAACACAUGCAAGUCGAGCGGGGAAGGGUAGCUUGCUACCUGACCUAGCGGCGGACGGGUGAGUAAUGCUUAGGAAUCUGCCUAUUAGUGGGGGACAACAUUCCGAAAGGAAUGCUAAUACCGCAUACGCCCUACGGGGGAAAGCAGGGGAUCUUCGGACCUUGCGCUAAUAGAUGAGCCUAAGUCAGAUUAGCUAGUUGGUGGGGUAAAGGCCUACCAAGGCGACGAUCUGUAGCGGGUCUGAGAGGAUGAUCCGCCACACGGGAACUGAGACACGGCCCAGACUCCUACGGGAGGCAGCAGUGGGGAAUAUUGGACAAUGGGCGAAAGCCUGAUCCAGCCAUGCCGCGUGUGUGAAGAAGGCCUUUUGGUUGUAAAGCACUUUAAGCGAGGAGGAGGCUACUUGGAUUAAUACUCUAGGAUAGUGGACGUUACUCGCAGAAUAAGCACCGGCUAACUCUGUGCCAGCAGCCGCCGUAAAAC